rnacentral:rRNA from 1 species
CGAACACGGAGAUAGCUGGUUCUCCCCGAAAUAGCUUUAGGGCUAGCCUGAGGUAGUAAGUAUAGGCGGUAGAGCACUGAUCGGGCUAGGGGCCGUAAAGGUUACCGAACCCUGUCAAACUCCGAAUGGAUAUACUGUAGAGCCUUGGAGUCAGACUACGAGUGAUAAGAUCCGUGGUCAAAAGGGAAACAGCCCAGACCACCAGCUAAGGUCCCCAAUGUCGUACUAAGUGGAAAAGGAUGUGGGGUUUCAUAAACAACCAGGAUGUUGGCUCAGAAGCAGCCACCAUUUAAAGAGUGCGUAAUAGCUCACUGGUCGAGAGACCCUGCGCCGAAGAUUCCCGGGGCUAAAGUACGAAACCGAAGCUGUGGCUGUAUACGUAAAGUAUACGGGGUAGGGGAGCGUUCCCAUAGGGUAGAAGUCGAACUGGAAGGUUCGGUGGACUUGUGGGAAGUGAGAAUGUUGGUAUGAGUAGCGAAAAGAAAGGUGAGAAUCCUUUCCACCGAAAGCAUAAGGAUUCCUGAGCAACGAUCGUCGUCUCAGGGUAAGUCGGGACCUAAUCCGAGGCAGAGAGCGUAGGAGAUGGACAACUGGUUGAUAUUCCAGUACCGGUAGUAAUUGUUUGAGCAAUGGAGUGACACAGAAGGGCAGGCAAGCAUGCGAAUGGAAGAGCAUGUGUAAGCGUGUAGGGUGGUGCAUAGGCAAAUCCGUGCACUGAAAGCCUGAGGCGUGAUGCGGAGUGAGCAGAGAUGCGAGCGAAGUUGUUGACCCCACACUGUCGAGAAAAGCUUCUAGUGAGAGAGCUACCGCCCGUACCGUAAACCGACACAGGUAUGCGGGGAGAGAAUCCUAAGGUGCGCGGGAGAACCCUCGUUAAGGAACUCGGCAAAAUGUACCCGUAACUUCGGGAUAAGGGUAGCCACUGUUGUGAAGUCCCACGCGGAUGGAGCAUAGAGUGGUCGCAGAGAAGAGGCCCAAGCGACUGUUUACCAUAAACACAGGUGCCUGCUAAAGCGAAAGCUGACGUAUAGGUGCUGACACCUGCCCAGUGCCGGAAGGUUAAGGAAGGAUGUUCGGAUUAGUCCAAAGCAUUCGACUGAAGCCCCGGUGAACGGCGGCCGUAACUAUAACGGUCCUAAGGUAGCGAAAUUCCUUGUCGGGUAAG